CAGCCGCCGCGGUAAUACAGAGUGUGCAAGCGUUAAUCGGAAUUACUGGGCGUAAAGCGCGCGUAGGUGGUUUGUUAAGUUGGAUGUGAAAGCCCCGGGCUCAACCUGGGAACUGCAUCCAAAACUGGCAAGCUAGAGUACGGUAGAGGGUGGUGGAAUUUCCUGUGUAGCGGUGAAAUGCGUAGAUAUAGGAAGGAACACCAGUGGCGAAGGCGACCACCUGGACUGAUACUGACACUGAGGUGCGAAAGCGUGGGGAGCAAACAGGAUUAGAUACCCCCGUAGUCCCUGUCUCUUAUAA
rnacentral:rRNA from 1 species